rnacentral:rRNA from 1 species
AGAUUGAACGCUGGCGGCAUGCUUUACACAUGCAAGUCGAACGGUAACAGGCCGCAAGGUGCUGACGAGUGGCGAACGGGUGAGUAAUGCAUCGGAACGUGCCCAGUCGUGGGGGAUAACGCAGCGAAAGCUGUGCUAAUACCGCAUACGAUCAUGGAUGAAAGCGGGGGACCGAAAGGCCUCGCGCGAUUGGAGCGGCCGAUGUCAGAUUAGCUAGUUGGUGGGGUAAAGGCCCACCAAGGCGACGAUCUGUAGCUGGUCUGAGAGGACGACCAGCCACACUGGAACUGAGACACGGUCCAGACUCCUACGGGAGGCAGCAGGUGGGGAAUUUUGGAACAAGUGGGCGCGAAGCCUGAUCCAGCAAUGCCGCGUGCAGGAAGA